rnacentral:misc_RNA from 1 species
AUCCUGCUCAACUUGGGCUACUAAAGCAUUAUGUGCAGACACAGCAUUUUCUGCCAUGGAUUCUGCUUCAAUACGUGCAAGCUCCUCAAUAACUAUGUCAGAUGCCUCACCAGUUGCAAGAGCUACAGCAGCUUGGGCCUUUGUAACAGGUUUAUCUGGCUGGAAUAAUCUUGUACAACCAAAUGCAAGUGAUAUUAUUCCUUGAUCUCCUGUAGACAAAUCAGCUAUCAGUGCAGGCCAUGCAUCUGGGUUUAUUUUAUCAAUAUCUCUAAAACCAGAAAGUUGGUACAAAAUCUUUCCAUCAGCUUCUGGAAGUUGUCUUUUCUGCAGGGCCAUCUUCCAGCUCACAAGAUCCUGCCUUGAUAAAGGGCUUUCAGGAGAGAAGUAA